AAGUCGUAACAAGGUUUCCGUAGGUGAACCUGCGGAAGGAUCAUUAAUGAAAUGCUUAGGAUGCUCUUUUUAGAGGUCCGACCACAUUACAUUUCCCAACACUGUGCACACACUUCUUUUUUACACCCAUUUUAUUAACACCAAGUCUUUGAAUGUAAUCAAGUCUCUUAAUUGAGCAUUUAAUUUAUAUUAAAACUUUCGGCAACGGAUCUCUUGGCUCUC
rnacentral:misc_RNA from 1 species